CACGUAGGGGGCGAGCGUUGUCCGGAUUUAUUGGGCGUAAAGAGCUCGUAGGCGGUUUCGUAAGUCGGAUGUGAAAACUCCAGGCUCAACUUGGAGACGCCAUUCGAUACUGCGAUGACUUGAGUCCGGCAGGGGAGUGUGGAAUUCCUGGUGUAGCGGUGAAAUGCGCAGAUACCAGGAGGAACACCGGCGGCGAAGGCGGCACUCUGGGCCGGUACUGACGCUGAGGAGCGAAAGCGUGGGUAGCAAACAGG
rnacentral:rRNA from 1 species